AAAAACGUGGACCACUUGAUCUCCCUCAUUAAUUGAGGUGAAAGAUCAACUGGUGGAGAGCGCGCGUUCCAUGGUACGCGCUAGUCAACAUUUGUAGCACCUCAAAUUUGCACCUCACAUUUUGUACAUACAUUUUCAUGAUUAAGUCAUUAACAUAGCAUUGUCCACUGCAUAGCAUUGCAUUGUCCUUUGCCCAAGUGCAAGUCAUCAGUCAACUAGUUAGAA
rnacentral:lncRNA from 1 species